rnacentral:rRNA from 1 species
GUCUAUGGCCAUACCACACUAAACAUGUCCAGUCUCAUCUGGUCUCAGAAGCUAAGCAGGCUCAGGCCUGAUUAGUACUUGGAUAAGAGACAAAUCUUCAAAACAGAAUGCUCAUAGACA